rnacentral:rRNA from 1 species
GAUGAACGCUAGCGGCAGGCUUAACACAUGCAAGUCGAGGGGUAGAGGAAGCUUGCUUCCUUGAGACCGGCGCACGGGUGCGUAACGCGUAUGCAACCUACCUUUUACAGAGGGAUAGCCCAGAGGAAUUUGGAUUAAUACCUCAUGGUAUAUAUCAUUCGCAUGUUUGAUAUAUUAAAGUUCCAACGGUAAAAGAUGGGCAUGCGUCCUAUUAGCUAGAUGGUAAGGUAACGGCUUACCAUGGCAACGAUAGGUAGGGGUCCUGAGAGGGAGAUCCCCCACACUGGUACUGAGACACGGACCAGACUCCUACGGGAGGCAGCAGUGAGGAAUAUUGGACAAUGGGCGCAAGCCUGAUCCAGCCAUGCCGCGUGCAGGAAGAAGCAUCUAUGGUGUGUAAACUGCUUUUGUACGGGAAGAAACACUCCUUCGUGAAGGAGCUUGACGGUACCGUAAGAAUAAGGAUCGGCUAACUCCGUGCCAGCCGCCGCAGUAAUAC